rnacentral:misc_RNA from 1 species
GUUAACGGGCAAUGCUUCAAUGUGAGAUUGUAGUUUUUUUUUAGCCUAUUUUAGUCUUUUAUAUCUGCUAUUGUAGUUAUUCCGAGUAGUUUAGGGAUAGAUUUGCUUAGGUUGUGGUUGCAUAUAGGUGUUUUGCCAUGGCUAUGGUCUCCAUAUUGAGUCAUAUGCUCUGUAAAAAUCUAUGUUAACCAAGCUAGUGGGAGGAUUCUAUGGGUUGG